rnacentral:rRNA from 1 species
CCUACGGGUGGCAGCAGUGAGGCAUAUUGGUCAAUGGACGAGAGUCUGAACCAGCCAAGUAGCGUGAAGGAUGACUGCCCUAUGGGUUGUAAACUUCUUUUAUAUGGGAAUAAAAUGUUCCACGUGUGGGAUUUUGUAUGUACCAUCUUAAUAAGGAUCGGCUAACUCCGUGCCAGCAGCCGCGGUAAUACGGAGGAUCCGAGCGUUAUCCGGAUUUAUUGGGUUUAAAGGGAGCGUAGGUGGAUUGUUAAGUCAGUUGUGAAAGUUUGCGGCUCAACCGUAAAAUUGCAGUUGAAACUGGCAGUCUUGAGUACAGUAGAGGUGGGUGGAAUUCGUGGUGUAGCGGUGAAAUGCUUAGAUAUCACGAAGAACUCCGAUUGCGAAGGCAGUUCACUGGACUGCAACUGACACUGAGGCUCGAAAGUGUGGGUAUCAAACAGGAUUAGAUACCCCUGUAGUC